CAUAGUAUGGUUUCUAGAUGCGGCAACCACUGAACCAGUCAUCUAAGAUUCUAGAUCUAAGAAUAAAAAUAAAGAAUAAUAAUAGGUUCUAAUCCUAGAUAGAUCUAGACUAGAUCCCAGUCUAGAUUUAGAUCUUAGCCAAAAUAUAAUCAGCGGUAACUAAAACUAAUCAGCUAGAGCUAGCUAGGAGACACUAUACAUCAUUUUUAAAGUUGCAUGCGAGGAAUUUUGGCAAGCCUUUAAGCGCAAGAUUACAGAAAAAGAUGAGCAAGAAAAGAUUAAAAUAUCUAGGAAGGUAGACAAAGAUGAGACAAAAAGAUGAAGAUGCACUGCAAAGAAAAGUCUUGAGAGAAAAGAAGAAGGUAGAGAGACAAUAGAAGAAAGAUGAUGAUGCAAGGAAGAAAAAAAAUUUGUCAGGAAUGAUGACUCUGAGGUAGAGAAACUGAACACCCAGCUGGACUCACAAGGAACUGUUAGAUCAUGUAGCACCGUCACACUACUAAAAGGUCCCCACCGCAACAUUAUUGUUAAUACCGGGAACCCUUCGGAAAGGGACUUACUUCUCAAAG